UUCCCCUUCGGGGGACGAGGGUGACAGGUGGUGCAUGGUUGUCGUCAGCUCGUGUCGUGAGAUGUUGGGUUAAGUCCCGCAACGAGCGCAACCCUCGCCUCUAGUUGCCAGCAUUCGGUUGGGCACUCUAGAGGGACUGCCGGCGACAAGUCGGAGGAAGUGGGGAUGACGUCAAAUCAUCAUGCCCCUUAUGACCUGGGCUACACACGUGCUACAAUGGGCGGUACAAAGGGCUGCGAACCCGCGAGGGGGAGCGAAUCCCAAAAAGCCGCUCUCAGUUCGGAUUGCAGGCUGCAACUCGCCUGCAUGAAGCCGGAAUCGCUAGUAAUCGCGGAUCAGCAUGCCGCGGUGAAUACGUUCCCGGGCCUU
rnacentral:rRNA from 1 species